GUAUGCUGACGCUUUUGUCCGUUAGCACCCGAGUUUCCGUUUGUCAAUCUAAUUUCCGAUCUUCCGCAAUAUCCGCCCACUGAGGUGUAGCAGGAAAUAUAUUAUUGUGGAAUGCCUCUCAAUGCCACCCAAAGGAAGAAAGAAAAAACGAAAAAAAAAAAAAGAAAAAAAAAAUUAAAGAACCUCAAGUUUUCAAAAUGACUUGUCUUAUUAGCAUUUUCUUAGUUUUACACGAGGAACUAUGGCUGUUAUCGUUAAAGCCUUUUGAGAGAAAAAUAAUUCAUAAGGUAUCCUAUAUUAAUUUUGUUCCGAUAUUCCAAGAAUUGAUACCAGUGUUACUGCGGUUUUUCCGCAGGCUAGGAUAGCGUGGCGACUAAGCAGAGAUAAAUGAACGUUUGAAAAACGUCAUGGUGCGAAAGCUGUGCUUGACAGGACCCCGCAAGUAUCAUUUCUCGCGGUAUGCAUGCCCGUGGGGGAGGUGGGAGGUCUUGUGUGAUCUGACCAAGACGAAAGAAUUGAUGGUCAUUGACACUGAAUGGAGAUGUAUCUGGAUAUACUCAACAAAUUACUUCAUGAACAGCAGCUAUCAUAUCUAUACCAUAUCUUGACUUCUGCUGUGAAAAGCACCACUGGACACAAACUUGCAUGUGAAUUUCUAGUAGAUAUAUCAAUACAUCAAUUUGUUGAAGAAUCCUUAUAUAUAUUAGCUAAGGUUUUUUUGUUUGUUUUUUUGUUGUUGUUGUUGUUUUUUUUUUUAAGGUUAACUAGCCAAGAAGAGAAGUAUACUCGACAGAUUUUCCAAAAGUCUUUGCAUAAUCAGUUGCUGUAUGGUGUACCUUUUUUAUGCAAUAGGCAGCAAGAAACAAACACACCUUGUAAAAUUUUGUAUUGUAUUAUUUUGCCUUCUAUUACACAUCGUUGUAAGUUUCUAGCAAAUCAGUUCUUGCUCUUAGAUCAAUUUAUAGUAAAUUAUCAGCAAAUAUUUACAUUUGCAUCCCGUGCGAAAACGUAUUCAAACAUAGGAUUAAAAAAUUAGUAUCGCACUAUAUUUGCCUGGGUUUGCAAAGAGGAUAAUGCUUGUGCAAAUUCAUGUCUUUACUAAACAUUUGCAGUAUCUGCAAAGGUGAAGGAAACAAAGAGCGCAAUGUCACAUUUAUAUCACAUGUACACAGAAAAAGUGACAAAAAUAUGCAAAUCUGCACGUUUACACAAAUUUAUAUCCCUAAAUUUUCAACAAGUUUGCUUACUUUGCAACCCGA